UUGUUUACAUCUACAAACGUGGCGAAAUCAGCUGAGAUAUGCAGUGGAUUUAAAUGCAAUAACUGGAGAUUUUUUAAAAAGAAAAUAGGGAUAAGAUAAGAGACAAGGCAUUGUUUAUCCCAGUUACGAGAAUAUGAGGACAUUAUUUCGAGAAAUAAUAAAAGACUGAGACGAUCAGCAUCAGCUCCCUAGAUCCAUCAACGCAGUAUAUUCAGCCCAAUUGUUAAGAGUUCCAGAUUUUAAGAAUGAAUAAAUACAAAAUGCAUCCAUUUCUCUACAGGCUAUUCCAUAAUAAUUCGACCAAUGGAUUCAUUCAGGCAGCAAGUUAAUCCAUCAUUUAAGGAAAAUGGCAUGCACCAUAUUAGCUAUAAACCAUGCAAUAUUCCUGGCAAAAUAGUAAAAUAUAACAGUAGAAUUGCAAACAUUUCAUUAUGCAUUCAAUGUUCCAUGUUUUCAUGCAUUUUUCUGAAUAUAAUUUAAGUUUAAACACCAAUUUACUCUUAAUAAUAUGAUGGUAUGUAUACAUGUUUAUCCUGAUUUUCUCAUGCAUAUAUUUUCAGAAUUGAUUUCAUCCACAAGAACAUGAAGUAAUGGAAGUAAUCUGCACCUGCUCAGUAUUCUUUUCACAGUCUACC